rnacentral:rRNA from 1 species
UACGAAGGGGGAGCCUAGCGUUGCUCGGAAUCACUGGGCGUAAAGGGUGCGUAGGCGGGUCUUUAAGUCAGGGGUGAAAUCCUGGAGCUCAACUCCAGAACUGCCUUUGAUACUGAAGAUCUUGAGUUCGGGAGAGGUGAGUGGAACUGCGAGUGUAGAGGUGAAAUUCGUAGAUAUUCGCAAGAACACCAGUGGCGAAGGCGGCUCACUGGCCCGGUACUGACGCUGAGGCACGAAAGCGUGGG